GUGUGUUCAGCCCCACGGACAUAUGCGGCCAACGAUUUCAGAAGUUAUAAAGGAGAUCCAAGAUGCAAUAUCUAUUGAGAGACAGGCAGAAGCAUUAAGAGAAGGCAAUUCAGAUGACAUGUCAAAACAUUCUUUUCAUUCUUCCAUGAACAUGGGGUCAAUGGAUCUAGGUGGAGCUGAGAGUUACCUGUCAAUUGAUGAAUCAAUUGCACAGCCCACAGCAAGAUAGAUCUCUCUUGUAAACAAAAGCAAAUUUUCCUUCUUCGGAUUUUAUUUUUUCUUUCAUUACUUCUUUGUAUGUGGAGGCCUUGUUAAUAUGCG
rnacentral:lncRNA from 1 species